GCCGGGCGUGGUGGCUCACGCCUGUAAUCCCAGCACUUUGGGAGGCCGAGGUGGGUGGAUCACCUGAGGUCAGGAGUUCUAGACCAGCCUGGCCAACAUGGUGAAACCCCAUCUCUA
ensembl:misc_RNA Metazoa_SRP Metazoan signal recognition particle RNA